AGGACGAACGCUGGCGGCGUGCUUAACACAUGCAAGUCGAGCGGUAAGGCUCCUUCGGGAGUACACGAGCGGCGAACGGGUGAGUAACACGUGAGCAAUCUGCCCUUCACACGGGGGAUAACUCCGGGAAAACCGGUGCUAAUACCCGAUACGACCACCUCAGGCAUCUGAUGGUGGUGGAAAGUUCCGGCGGUGAAGGAUGAGCUCGCGGCCUAUCAGCUUGUUGGUGGGGUAAAGGCCCACCAAGGCAACGACGGGUAGCCGGCCUGAGAGGGUGACCGGCCACACUGGGACUGAGACACGGCCCAGACUCCUACGGGAGGCAGCAGUGGGGAAUAUUGGACAAUGGGCGAAAGCCUGAUCCAGCAACGCCGCGUGAGGGAUGACGGCCUUCGGGUUGUAAACCUCUUUCAGCAGGGACGAAGCGCAAGUGACGGUACCUGCAGAGAAGCACCGGCCAACUACGCGCCAGCAGCCGCGGUAA
rnacentral:rRNA from 1 species